rnacentral:tRNA from 1 species
UGUAAACCUGAAAUGAAGAACUUCUCUUCUCAAGAC